rnacentral:rRNA from 1 species
UACGGAGGGGACUAGCGUUGUUCGGAAUUACUGGGCGUAAAGCGCACGUAGGCGGAUUUGUAAGUCAGGGGUGAAAUCCCGGGGCUCAACCUCGGAACUGCCUUUGAUACUGUUCGGCUCGAGACCGGAAGAGGUAAGUGGAACUGCGAGUGUAGAGGUGAAAUUCGUAGAUAUUCGCAAGAACACCAGUGGCGAAGGCGGACUUACUGGUCCGGUUCUGGACGCUGAGGCGCGAAAGCGUGGGGAGCAAACAGG